rnacentral:rRNA from 1 species
CCGAUGUCCGAUUAGCUAGUUGGCGGGGUAAUGGCCCACCAAGGCGACGAUCGGUAGCUGGUCUGAGAGGACGACCAGCCACACUGGAACUGAGACACGGUCCAGACUCCUACGGGAGGCAGCAGUGGGGAAUAUUGGACAAUGGGGGCAACCCUGAUCCAGCCAUGCCGCGUGGGUGAAGAAGGCCUUCGGGUUGUAAAGCCCUUUUGUACGGGAAGAAAAGCUGCGGGUGAAUAUCCUGUAGUCAUGACGGUACCGUAAGAAUAAGCACCGGCUAACUUCGUGCCAGCAGCCGCGGUAAUACGAAGGGUGCAAGCGUUACUCGGAAUUACUGGGCGUAAAGCGUGCGUAGGCGGUUGGUUAAGUCUGAUGUGAAAUCCCCGGGCUCAACCUGGGAAUGGCAUUGGAAACUGGCGAGCUAGAGUACGGUAGAGGGUGGUGGAAUUCCCGGUGUAGCAGUGAAAUGCGUAGAGAUCGGGAGGAACAUCUGUGGCGAAGGCGGCCACCUGGACCAGUACUGACGCUGAGGCACGAAAGCGUGGGGAGCAAACAGGAUUAGAUACCCUGGUAGUCCACGCCCUAAACGAUGCGAACUGGAUGUUGGGGGCAACUUGGCCCUCAGUAUCGAAGCUAACGCGUUAAGUUCGCCGCCUGGGGAGUACGGUCGCAAGACUGAAACUCAAAGGAAUUGACGG